GCUUGUCUCAAAGAUUAAGCCAUGCAUGUUCAAGUAUAGCAAGUGUACAGUGAAACUGCGAAUGGCUCAUUAAAUCAGUUAUAAUUUAUUUGAUAGUGAAAUUGUACAUGGAUAACCGUGGCAAUUCUAGGGCUAAUACAUGCGUCAAUGGUCGGUCGACCAGUAUUUAUUAGAUACAAAGCCAGCCGUCAGGAUCAGGUGAAUCAUGAUAACCAAACGAAUCGCAAGCGCAAGCGGCGAUGGUUCAUUCAAAUUUCUGCCCUAUCAGCUUCCGACGGUAGGGUAUUGGCCUACCGUGGCAAUGACGGGUAACGGAGAAUUAGGGUUCGAUUCCGGAGAGGGAGCCUGAGAAACGGCUACCACAUCUAAGGAAGGCAGCAGG
rnacentral:rRNA from 1 species